UCCGCUCCUCUAUAUCCACCUCUUCCAACACCACUGCAAAUACUGCAUUUCACACACAGCAUAGAGUCUUCACUUUAGAGAAGUGGCUAACGAUGGUUGUUCCGCUCGCUUACAAAAAUGCAUUGCUUGGAUUGAUUUGAAGGUAAAGGCGAUUACAGAUACCGUCACAGGACCCCCGAACUCCCCACCCGAAGUCCCGAAAGCUUGAAGAAUCAUCAACCUCAAUAGAGAAAAGAAGUCCUUUUGGUCAAAAGCAUGUGACCUUUUUUCCUUUUGACUCGGCUCUUUGCUUGACACGCUACUAGCUCUACUGUAAUGCGAUCAUUGAAAAGACAGGAGAGUCUUCAGAUCCUCUACAUUCUUUACAACUUGUGUCCAUGACACUGGGCAGUGAACACAAUGUUUUCAACCGGCCUAUUGGAGUCACUGCAGAGUAACAAGACUGCUAGUCGCUAACUCUGGAAGUUUCCAUUACCUGUAGCCUACCCAUCAAAUUUGGUGUGUGUUUUGAAAUGUCUGUGUGCUUUAAUUGUAUUGUUUACAACACUUAAUAAUUUAGUUGUACUAGCUGACUUACCCGCCAUUUCCUAAUGCAAGAAAUUAAAAAAAUAAAAAUGAAUUAUAAACUUGCAUUUAAUAUGUAAUCUAACAUUUAUUAGUAUUGGGAAGUGAAUUUUAUACAAUAUUCUUGCACCCCCUAUUGCAGUUAGCAAGGCUACAGACAAUAUACAGAGCCGGCUAUACUUCCUUAAAAGGCUGGCGUCCUUCAACAUCUGCAAUAAGAUGCUGCAGAUGUUCUAUCAGGCGGUUGUGG